AGUAUAUUCUAUCCACGGAAGGAAGUUAAUAUAGGACUCUCUCUGUUACGAAAUCCCAUACAAAUGACGAAGACAAAAAGUCAGUGGCGUUAACCAUUUUGAGUGACCAACCAAUCACAUAUGAGCCUAUGUUUUCCGUACUAACUUGUUAACGUCCGAAAUUUAAAU